UUCUGGCAGCCGGGAAGUCCAAGAUCACAGCAGAUUCCAUGUCCAGUGAGGGCCCAUGUUCUGGGUCACAGAUGGUGCCUUCGGGCUAUGUCUGCACCUGGUGGAAGGACUGGGGAGCCCCCAGGGCCUCCUUAUAAGGACACCAAUCCCAUUCACAAGAGCUCUGCCCAGGACCUAAUCACCUCCCAACGGCCUCACCUCCUAAUACCAUCAACUGGGGAGUUAGGAUUUCAACGUACAAAUGGGGAAGAGAGAAUGCAGACAAUCAGACAAUAGCAGAGGCCCAUGUCCAAAGAAGGAAAACCGUCAUGGUUCUGAGUAACUGGAAGUCGAGAUCCCCUAUAAGGCCGUUUUGGCUUCCUUGAGUCAGUGAACCAAGAACCAGAGUGGAGAGUCCAGUGGAAAUUUUGGGGAAGAUACUGAGAAGGACUAUGGAUGAAACCUGAGAAUCCAUGGAGUUGCUGCUUUGUUCUCCUUUGCCUCAUAUUCCUGGUCAACAGAAAACCGCAGAAAGGUCACCAUGAUCUCAUGCCUGCGGGAAUGCAGCCGCAGGUCACCUCACCAGGAUUGUCUCUGCCUUCUGCACCCAGGCCUCAGCUGCAGGAGGCUGGAUUGCUCAGACUCCAUGACAAGCCUCCAGAAAGUCCGCCUUCCCAGAAAGUCCACCUUCCAGUUCGUUUUGGUCAGUGGGAGCCCCAGCAGCAGAGGGAAGAGAGUGAAGUCAGGGUAUUUCUUCUCUGGUUCCUCCCUGAGGUCAUCUCAGGCCGGUAUGUCCUUCCACAGAGGUCACUGUUCCUCCCUAAGUGGCUUUCCCCAACCACUCUUUCUUCUGCGUUUCAGUGGCCUCUCCUGUCCUUCAGCCUAGGCAGGAAUGGUUUCACUGUCACAACCCUAGUUCCCACAUUGGGCUAUGGUUUCCUUAUACCUGCCACACCUUUGUAAUUAUUUUCUUUAUAAAUAAAACCCCCUUGAAUUAUCCUGAGAGAGCACACCCUCCGUUAUGUCUUGGCCCCCUAACCAAUACACAGAGUUUCAAAGGUGUGCCCAGAAUCCUGCAACUGUGAAGCGGUAGGGACAGCAAGGUCUUGAGACCAGGCUCCCAGCCCUGAUGCUCGUUCCCACCCCAGCACCAUGGCCCACCCAGGAGGAUCCUGCACCUUGAAGGACAAUCCACCCAAGCUCACAGCUGCCAGCUCCCAGCACCCACAUCCUGCGCACGGGUCAGGCAGAAGGGCUACACACAAAAGGCCCCACACAACCCUCCACCCACAGGUAGGGGACACUUGAUAAAUGCCCAGUGUCCACCUCCUCAGGGGACAAUGCACAGUCCCUCAGAGAGCCCCAGCAGGAUCCAGCUCCAGCCGCCCGCAAGGGUGACCAGCUCACCGGCAGGCCCUCCAGGUCACCCCCAUUCCUCAUCUCUUUUCCUCCCCUCUCACUGUCUCCUGUGCACCUCCCAACACACGACUCACACCCAAACCUUUGUUUCAGCAACUGAAGGCACCCAAAGUGACAUAGCGCCUGCUGCAAAGGAAUUCAGAACUUUAAGGGAGGAAAUGGAUGUUGUUUUUCUCACUCCUAAGUCAGAGCUAAGCAAUAGACAGGCACGGACAUAGAGAGUAGAAUAAUAGACAGCAGAGACUCCAAGAGGUGGGAGGGGCUGAGGGAUGGAAAAUGACCCGUUGGGUACAAUGUACACUAUUCAGGUGAUGGCUACACUAAAAGCCCAGACUUCACCACUGCACAGUGUAUCCAUGUAACAAGACUGCACUUGUAACCCUUAAAUCUAUUUUUUUUUUAGAAACAGGAAAACAGAUAGUGAUGCAUCUUUAAAAUAAAUAGUGUUUUAAGCUGCUACAUUUGUGGUAAACUGUUACGUACAAUAAAAACAAAAUGAACACACAGAAUGACAAAAAUUUAUUUCCAUACACCAUGUCUUAGAAAACUGCCUGAGGAUGCACUCUAGCAAAAAGAGGAAAUAAACAAAGAGGGGGGUGAUGCGAGGGCUAGAAAAUAGUGUCCUCCACCGAGGACAGCGGAGACCAAACGCAGAUCCCACAUGGGUGGGAGCUCUCCAGGGCAGACUGGGGAAGGGACUGAGCCCACCCCGGGUGCAGGGAGUGAUCGGCCCUCAGG
rnacentral:lncRNA from 1 species